rnacentral:lncRNA from 1 species
AACGCACCAACCACCAAGCCAUACUCCCUUGUUAACAUAUAUGUAUAACAUAUAUAUAUUUUAAGUAUGAAAACUUUUAAUCAUUAAUUUAAUAAAAAUCUAACAUUCCCCACCUGAUUAAAAUGUUUUCAAAACUUUAUAAAAUCAAAAAAUAGUCAAACCGGGCUUGUUUAUGUCACGACUUCAAUAAAGGUAGCUUGCGGCUUUGAACCUUUACCUAGUGAAAGUAUAUUUUCAUCUGAAAGGUAUAGUGGUAGCUAAAAAGCUUUGAACCAAAUCCUUUGGUUCAGAUUUCUAUAUACUUCACCCAUGACAAAUGCAAAUACUGGGUUCAUCAUAGGUGGUGCUUUUUCUGGCCUUAUGCACCAAUAUCUCAGUUUCAUGAGUGCUCUAGGGGUUAAACCCUUAUCCCCAUAGACUGCGGCCACACAGUCACACUCACAUAGGUGAGUCCUCCAAGGGUGCUCGCAGCACAGCACCUUGCCAUAGACUCGGACUC